UACAGAGGGGGCAAGCGUUGUUCGGAAUUACUGGGCGUAAAGGGCGCGUAGGCGGCCUGCUAAGUCGAACGUGAAAUCCCUGGGCUCAACCCAGAAGCUGCGUCCGAUACUGGUUGGCUUGAAUCCGGGAGAGGGAUGUGGAAUUCCAGGUGUAGCGGUGAAAUGCGUAGAUAUCUGGAGGAACACCGGUGGCGAAGGCGACAUCCUGGACCGGUAUUGACGCUGAGGCGCGAAAAGCCAGGGGAGCAAACGGG
rnacentral:rRNA from 1 species